AGAGUUUGAUCCUGGCUCAGGAUGAACGCUGGCGGCGUGCUUAACACAUGCAAGUCGAACGGUGAACACGGAGCUUGCUCUGUGGGAUCAGUGGCGAACGGGUGAGUAACACGUGAGCAACCUGCCCCUGACUCUGGGAUAAGCGCUGGAAACGGCGUCUAAUACUGGAUAUGUGACGUGAUCGCAUGGUCUGCGUCUGGAAAGAAUUUCGGUUGGGGAUGGGCUCGCGGCCUAUCAGCUUGUUGGUGAGGUAAUGGCUCACCAAGGCGUCGACGGGUAGCCGGCCUGAGAGGGUGACCGGCCACACUGGAACUGAGACACGGCCCAGACUCCUACGGGAGGCAGCAGUGGGGAAUAUUGCACAAUGGGCGCAAGCCUGAUGCAGCAACGCCGCGUGAGGGACGACGGCCUUCGGGUUGUAAACCUCUUUUAGCAGGGAAGAAGCGACAGUGACGGUACCUGCAGAAAAAGCGCCGGCUAACUACGUGCCAGCAGCCGCGGUAAUACGUAGGGCGCAAGCGUUAUCCGGAAUUAUUGGGCGUAAAGAGCUCGUAGGCGGUUUGUCGCGUCUGCUGUGAAAUCCGGAGGCUCAACCUCCGGCCUGCAGUGGGUACGGGCAGACUAGAGUGCGGUAGGGGAGAUUGGAAUUCCUGGUGUAGCGGUGGAAUGCGCAGAUAUCAGGAGGAACACCGAUGGCGAAGGCAGAUCUCUGGGCCGUAACUGACGCUGAGGAGCGAAAGGGUGGGGAGCAAACAGGCUUAGAUACCCUGGUAGUCCAA
rnacentral:rRNA from 1 species